rnacentral:rRNA from 1 species
UGCCUUACACAUGCAAGUCGAACGGCAGCGCGGGGGCAACCCUGGCGGCGAGUGGCGAACGGGUGAGUAGCGCAUCGGAACGUACCCGGAAGUGGGGGAUAACGUAGCGAAGGUUACGCUAAUACCGCAUAUUCUCUGAGGAGGAAAGUGGGGGACCGCAAGGCCUCACGCUUUCGGAGCGGCCGAUGCCGGAUUAGCUAGUUGGUGGGGUAAGAGCCUACCAAGGCGACGAUCCGUAGCGGGUCUGAGAGGACGAUCCGCCACACUGGGACUGAGACACGGCCCAGACUCCUACGGGAGGCAGCAGUGGGGAAUUUUGGACAAUGGGGGCAACCCUGAUCCAGCCAUGCCGCGUGAGUGAAGAAGGCCUUCGGGUUGUAAAGCUC